GGAUCAGCUGUUUGACUCCUGAACACCUACACAGUCCUGGAGAGGAUGGAGAUGAUGAAGACGGUGGCAGCCAGCAACAGCAGAGGAGUCGCCGUGGCAACAGCUGGAAGCUCGUCUGGAGAACAAAGCUCAGGAGCACCUUUAAUCAGAGUGGAGGAGGAGAAAGCGUCCACUGUGGACCAGCGGCUGGUGGACGGAUUCGACUCAGAGCUCCACCGAAGGUUCAAGUAGCUGAUAGGUGGGACAGAAGAUGGACUGAUGGGAAGCUUCCACCGGACCAGAAGAGCUUCUUCAUCUGGAUACGAGCUGGAAACCCACAAGUUCCUGAUGGAGGGAAGAUCUGCAGGAAACAGCAGCAGGUGAGUAGCAGGUGAACGUCCGGCCGUGUUGAAGGCGGCGACGCUGCAGUUCCCCUCCUCUACCACCAGAAGCGCCAUCGCCCCGGUAACGUUCUGAACAGACCCGUCACAGCUCACCUGGUAACCAAGGAUACGACCUCCAGCAUCACCCGGGUCAGGAGCCUGAAGACAUGUUCAGGAAAAGGUUUCCAUCAGGUUUACUACUAAGUUUCUACUAAACUUCUCAGGUUUCUACCAGGCUUCUGCCAUGUUUCUACCAUGUUUCUGACAUGU